rnacentral:rRNA from 1 species
GUAUCAAUAAGCGGAGGAAAAGAAACCAACAGGGAUUGCCCCAGUAACGGCGAGUGAAGCGGCAUCAGCUCAAAUUUGAAAUCUGGCGUCUUCGGCGUCCGAGUUGUAAUUUGUAGAGAGUGUCUCGGGUGGAGCACCGGUCCAAGUCCCUUGGAACAGGAUAUCAUAGAGGGUGAGAAUCCCGUAUCCGGCCGGUCCCCUCCCCUACUGUGAGGCCUCUUCGACGAGUCGAGUUGUUUGGGGAUGCAGCUCUAAAUUGGAGGUAAAUUCCUUCUAAAGCUAAAUACUGGCCAGAGACCGAUAGCGCACAAGUA